rnacentral:lncRNA from 1 species
CAUGAAGUGUUUCACUCGUCCUCUGACGUGUGACAACGCUUUAGUCGACGUACUAGGAAAGCCUUCUUCCACCCGAUAUCUUCAGCAACCAAAUGAAUUUCAGGUGAAAUCACUACAAAGUGCUUGGUAUAGAGCCUUCUCCAUAACAUGUCGCUGGAAGAAGCAUUAUACAAAGCUCGACAAACCUGCAAUAUGGUGACGCGCAAAACUGAGAAUCAGUCAAGACGUACAGUGGCUUGAUAUUGAUAAGCAAGAGAAUGGAAAAUACUGAUAACUACAUGCAGGAUUACCAAUAUCAUUGUUAUAUAAUGCCCUAUAAUAGAGUGACAAUAUUAGUUUUUAUAACCUUUUACGCAACAUGACCACCAGUGUUGUUAUAUUGCACAAGCUCUUGAAAAGCACUAUUUUGAGGCUUAAGUAUUUUUAAAUUUCAUUUGUUCGCAAAGCAAUAGUUGCAAAAUGUAUAAAUGAAGUUGAAAAAUAGUUCGGGUAACUGCUUUAUAUUAUGGAGCUGAGAUUAUUUGUGGACUAUUUUGGUAAACUAACACGAUCAAAUGACAAAAAUCUGUUUCCUUGUAUGGCCUACACUGACAAAGGAUAAAAUCUGAAACUUUUCAUCAAAAAGAGUAGGUAUGACAAAAAAAGACAAUUUACCCAGACCUCUGUAGUACAUAUUGUAAGGAAGUUAUUGAGAAAAGAAAAUAAUAAUAAAAUUUCAAGCAACCGGAUGCUGCAUCAUAUUGGUGUAUUGUAGGUUUGGUACACCAACACGGAGGGCAUAAAAAUCCACAAAAAUGAAGCUGAUUGUUCUCUCAAUAUUCUAAACUUUCUCUCCGGAACUCUUCAAAUAUCCAUUUUAAUUGCUAUCAUACCUAAAAAUUUGGAAACAGCUUUAAAAUAUUGGUUUUGAAACAUUUAACAAAGACGUCACAGUUCUCACUCAAAAUGCUUGAAAGAAAAGCACCAACAAGGGAUAUUGAUAUGGAAUUAGCUAAGAGAUCUCGUUACAGUUAAGAUUACAUUCACUUUCAUUUGUGUUUUAUGAUAACUUGGACUUAGAACUUAGUGCACCUAGUGGGCUUAGAACGCCAAAUACGUUAAUUUAGAGUAUUGCUAGUGUUAAGUCCUAAUGAAGCUUGGAAUAGUUUGUUAUAAUGUGGCUGACAUAUUUUGAUUAAUGAGAUGCGUAAACUUGACGCAGAUGUUGCAAAUAAAGUACGCGUAACAAUUUAUUUCACAACUAAAAGAUUUCGUUCAUACUAACUCAUACUGAAGGUUAAAGUGGUUCAUGACCAUCUGGGCGCGUGUCUUUGUUGUUUAGUUUUAAAAAUAGAGCUGGAGAAACAUUGAAUUCAAAGCUGCCGUUCUAUCGACUCAUAACUAACAAACGUUUCCUCUUAUCGUACUUGUCCGUGAGACUGAAAGAUGUUUGAGUCGUUUCGUACAUACAGUACGUACUCGAAAUGUUUUAUAGUUAAACCAUCAUAGUUAUAAAUUUAUUGCAAACGAUAAAUCAAGUGAACUCAUCUAUACACGUCGAUCUCACCAGCGAAACACGAAACUGAAAAAAUUCUUUUCACAUCAUAAUAUCAUUAAAAAAUAAAAAUGUCAAUCAGAGUUUGUGCUGGUGAAUCUUGAAAUUCUCAAAAUGUGAUAUGACAAUGUAGCGCUGUGCUUGUUUUGGCUUGAUUAAACACGUCCUAGCUAGUUGAAAAGAAAUUUAGGUAACUGAUCUACUGGGGUCGAAAAAUACUGCCAUAAAACAAUGACGAAGGUCUAAAUAAUGCCUUUGGUAAGAAUAUUUGUUUAUACUCAUUACAUACUCAAAAUAGGAAUGGCCUGCGGAGUUCUUUAAAUUGUAUUUCGAUCUCGCAGGUGCAAAUGGAGAAUGAUGUAAAUGUAUUUGAUAAAAACAUGCAGUACUUGAAAAAUUAUCAUUAAGUAUUUACUGACUUACAAACUGUAUAUUUCAAGUUGACAAAGGCUUGAUACGACUCUAUGUAACGGUG